ACUUUUUAGUCCCUGUGUAAUAAG
rnacentral:misc_RNA from 1 species